GUGUACAUCUACCGCGACGGCGAGCCGCGCCCGCUGGCCCAGCUGCGCGGCCCCGGCCUCAUGCUGCUGUCGCUGGCCGUGCUGGGCAGCAAGAUUAUCGCGGGAUAUAAAGAUAGGAGUUUGUUCAUAUGGAAGAUUCCACUUAGCAUACUACAAGAAAUGAUUUUAUAAAAUAUCUGGGUGUCUUAGAUGAAAUCUCACCUAUUGUUUUGUUACUGUAACUUUUCACCUAUUUUCUAGUAUGUACCUAUCUUGUAAAUAAAGCAGAUGUUUAACAUA